rnacentral:rRNA from 1 species
GAUGAACGCUGACAGAAUGCUUAACACAUGCAAGUCAACUUGAACUUCGGUUUGGGUGGCGGACGGGUGAGUAACGCGUAAAGAACUUGCCUCACAGAUAGGGACAACAUUUGGAAACGAAUGCUAAUACCUGAUAUUAUGAUUAUAUGGCAUCGUAUAAUUAUGAAAGCUAUAUGCGCUGUGAGAGAGCUUUGCGUCCCAUUAGCUAGUUGGAGAGGUAACGGCUCACCAAGGCGAUGAUGGGUAGCCGGCCUGAGAGGGUGAUCGGCCACAAGGGGACUGAGACACGGCCCUUACUCAUACGGGAGGCAGCAGUGGGGAAUAUUGGACAAUGGACCAAGAGUCUGAUCCAGCAAUUCUGUGUGCACGAUGAAGUUUUUCGGAAUGUAAAGUGCUUUAAGUUGGGAAGAAAAAAAUGACGGUACCAACAGAAGAAGUGACGGCUAAAUACGUG